UCCCUUUGUUCAGUGGAAUUCUCGGUACCUGGUAGAGCAAGCACAGUUUAUGCAAUGUUUGAACAGAAAAUGCACUACACUAGACUUAAUUAGCCAUUUAUUAGCAUGUCCAAAAACCAGUGGACUCCAGAUUUCGCUGUCAGAAAGAAAUGCAGAGUGGAUGGGUUGGGCACAUAACACACUAAAUGGGAUAGGUCUAGCUAAGAAAGGAACGUGGUCUGUUUUUCAGACAGCUGGGAGCCAGCGUUUUCUGGAAUCAAAAUCAGUUUUUUGAUACUUGAAAAUUCGGAUCAAACUGAACAAUCUUUCGUGCAUAGUUUGCUGAAUGGCUGACCUCAGAGAACCAGUGGAGACUAUAAGAAGAAUGAACAAAGUGAGGGGAACGAGCUGGAAAA